rnacentral:piRNA from 1 species
UAGCCUGGCUGAGAGUCCUCCUUC